rnacentral:rRNA from 1 species
UGGGGAAUAUUGCACAAUGGGCGCAAGCCUGAUGCAGCCAUGCCGCGUGUGUGAAGAAGGCCUUCGGGUUGUAAAGCACUUUCAGCGAGGAGGAAGGUGGUGGACUUAAUACGUUCAUCAAUUGACGUUACUCGCAGAAGAAGCACCGGCUAACUCCGUGCCAGCAGCCGCGGUAAUACGGAGGGUGCAAGCGUUAAUCGGAAUUACUGGGCGUAAAGCGCACGCAGGCGGUUUGUUAAGUCAGAUGUGAAAUCCCCGGGCUCAACCUGGGAACUGCAUUUGAAACUGGCAAGCUAGAGUCUCGUAGAGGGGGGUAGAAUUCCAGGUGUAGCGGUGAAAUGCGUAGAGAUCUGGAGGAAUACCGGUGGCGAAGGCGGCCCCCUGGACGAAGACUGACGCUCAGGUGCGAAAAGCGUGGGGAGCAAAACAGGAUUAGAUACCCUGGUAGUCCACGCUGUAAAACGAUGUCGAUUUUGGAGGUUGUGCCCUUGAGGCGUGGCUUCCGGAGCUAACGCGUUAAAUCGACCGCCUGGGG